rnacentral:rRNA from 1 species
GACGAAGGUGGCGAGCGUUGUUCGGAAUCACUGGGCAUAAAGCGCACGUAGGCGGCGGCGUAAGUUGGAUGUGAAAUCCCCCGGCCCAACCGGGGAACUGCGUCCAGUACUGCGUUGCUUGAGGAUCCAAGGGGUGCAUGGAAUUCCCGGUGGAGCGGUGAAAUGCGUUGAUAUCGGGAGGAACUCCGGCGGCGAAAGCGGUGCACUGGUGGAUUACUGACGCUGAGGUGCGAAAGCCAGGGGAGCAAGCGGG